rnacentral:rRNA from 1 species
UACAGAGGUCUCAAGCGUUGUUCGGAUUCAUUGGGCGUAAAGGGUGGGUAGGCGGCGCGGUAAGUCGGGUGUGAAAUCUUGGAGCUUAACUCCGAAACUGCAUUCGAUACUGCCGUGCUUGAGGACUGGAGAGGAGACUGGAAUUUACGGUGUAGCGGUGAAAUGCGUAGAUAUCGUAAGGAAGACCAGUGGCGAAGGCGGGUCUCUGGACAGUUCCUGACACUGAGACACGAAGGCCAGGGGAGCAAACGGG